CCUACGGGAGACAGCAGUAGGGAAUCUUCCACAAUGGGCGAAAGCCUGAUGGAGCAACGCCGCGUGGGUGAAGAAGGUCUUCGGAUCGUAAAACCCUGUUGUUAGAGAAGAAAGUGCGUGAGAGUAACUGUUCACGUUUCGACGGUAUCUAACCAGAAAGCCACGGCUAACUACGUGCCAGCAGCCCCGGUAAUACGUAGGGGGCAAACGUUAUCCGGAUUUGUUGGGCGUAAAGGGAACGCAGGCGGUCUUUUAAGCCUGAUGUGAAAGCGUUCGGCUUAACCGGAGUAGUGCAUUGGAAACUGGGAGACUUGAGUGGGGAAGAGGAGAGUGGAACUCGAGGUGUAGCGGUGAAAUGCAUAGAUAUAUGGAAGAACACCAGUGGCGAAAGCGGCUCUCUGGUCUGUAACUGACGCUGAGGUUCGAAAGCGUGGGUAGCAAACAGGAUUAGAUACCCCAGUAGUC
rnacentral:rRNA from 1 species